GAUGAACGCUGGCGGCGUGCUUAACACAUGCAAGUCGAACGGGAUAUAUUUCAUUGAGACUUCGGUGGAUUUGAUUUAUUUCUAGUGGCGGACGGGUGAGUAACGCGUGGGUAACCUGCCUUAUACAGGGGGAUAACAGUCAGAAAUGGCUGCUAAUACCGCAUAAGCGCACAGAGCUGCAUGGCUCAGUGUGAAAAACUCCGGUGGUAUAAGAUGGACCCGCGUUGGAUUAGCUAGUUGGUGGGGUAACGGCCCACCAAGGCGACGAUCCAUAGCCGGCCUGAGAGGGUGAACGGCCACAUUGGGACUGAGACACGGCCCAGACUCCUACGGGAGGCAGCAGUGGGGAAUAUUGCACAAUGGGGGAAACCCUGAUGCAGCGACGCCGCGUGAAGGAAGAAGUAUCUCGGUAUGUAAACUUCUAUCAGCAGGGAAGAUAGUGACGGUACCUGACUAAGAAGCCCCGGCUAACUACGUG
rnacentral:rRNA from 1 species